UUCCCAAAAGAAUAUAUGAGUUGGUGUGUAUACUCAUGUUGGUAUCUUUAUGUUUUUUUUUCUGGCAAGAUUGUAUUUUUUCUCUAUGGCUUUUUCAAUCUGUGAUAGUACGAGGCAGAUUUUCCUUGCCUGAUCCUACAAUGCCUCAUGGUCGCCAAGACGUGAUAGAGUGGAUUUGUGGGCUAUAGGUUAAAUAUUUGGAGGUACGACAGAUUAUUAGAAGUUGUGCUUUUAAACUGGUGCAGUUCUGAUCUCUGGAAAUAUUCUCACCAUCCAAACUACUUUGGCGAGGAAUGGGACCCUCCAAGGAGUUUCCAAAUUUAACAAGAAACAGUAAACUGGGAUAGAGCCUUCCGAAGCUUCAGCGUGUAAGAAGCCUCAUCACCACCAAUGUCAUUUGAUGAGUACAAAGUAUGAACGUAAGAGCACCAAUACU